rnacentral:rRNA from 1 species
CCCUUAGAUGUUCUGGGCCGCACGCGCGCUACACUGAUGCAUUCAACGAGUCUAAAACCUGGUCUGAUAGGGCUGGGUAAUCUUUUGAAUGUGCAUCGUGAUUGGGAUAGAUGAUUGCAAUUCUUCAUCUUCAACGAGGAAUGCCUAGUAAACGCAAGUCAUCAGCUUGCAUUGAUUACGUCCCUGCCCUUUGUACACACCGCCCGUCGCUCCUACCGAUUGAAUGAUCCGAUGAAUAUCAUGGAUUGAGGAUGCAAGUAGGUUCGCCUAUCUUCAUCUUCGAGAAGUGAAGUAAAUCUUAUCAUUUAGAGGAAGGAGAAGUCGUAACA